rnacentral:rRNA from 1 species
ACAGUCACACAUUAGAUACCCCUGUAGUCCCAGCCCUAAACGAUGCGCGUUAGGUGUAUCGGUGACCACGAGUCACCGAGGUGCCGAAGGGAAACCGUGAAACGUGCCGCCUGGGAAAUACGGUCGCAAGGCUGAAACUUAAAGGAAUUGGCGGGGAGCACCACAACGGGUGGAGCCUGCGGUUUAAUUGGACUCAACGCCGGGAAGCUCACCGGAUAAGACAGCGGAAUGAUUGCCGGGCUGAAGACCCUGCAUGACCAGCUG